rnacentral:rRNA from 1 species
GGUUUUCUGGAGAGUGGCGUACGGGUGAGUAACACGUGGGUAAUCUGCCUUUGGGUGGGGAAUAACGAUCCGAGAGGGUCGCUAAUACCGCAUAACGCAGCGGCACCGCAUGGUGACAGUUGUUAAAGGGGGGGAUCGAAAGACCUCUCGCCUGAAGAGGAGCCCGCGUCCGAUUAGCUAGUUGGUGAGGUAACGGCUCACCAAGGCAUCGAUCGGUAGCCGGCCUGAGAGGGCGGUCGGCCACACUGGCACUGAGACACGGGCCAGACUCCUACGGGAGGCAGCAGUGGGGAAUUUUGGGCAAUGGGCGAAAGCCUGACCCAGCAACGCCGCGUGAAGGAUGAAAUCCCUCUGGGAUGUAAACUUCGAAAGUCGGGAAAGAAAUCGCCAUGGAGAAUACCUGUGGUGGAUGACGGUACCCGACGUAAGCCCCGGCUAACUACGUGCCAGCAGCCGCGGUAAUACGUAGGGGGCAAGCGUUGUUCGGAAUUACUGGGCGUAAAGGGCGCGUAGGCGGCAUGGCAAGUCGGGAGUGAAAGCCCGGGGCUCAACCCCGGAACUGCUUUCGAAACUGCCAAGCUAGAGUACGGAAGGGACAACUGGAAUUCCCAGUGUAGCGGUGAAAUGCGUAGAUAUUGGGAAGAACACCGGAGGCGAAGGCGGGUUGCUGGGCCGAUACUGACGCUGAGGCGCGAAAGCCAGGGGAGCAAACGGGAUUAGAUACCCCGGUAGUCCUGGCCCUAAACGAUGGAUACUUGGUGUGUGGGGUUCUCAAAGUCCCCGCGUGCCGAAGCUAACGCGUUAAGUAUCCCGCCUGGGGAGUACGGUCGCAAGGCUGAAACUCAAA